AUAUACACACACACACACAUAUAUAACAUAAUUAUAUAUAUAAUUUUUAUUACUUAAUUGAUGUAAUAUCAUAAUAUUGUUUACUAAAAUUGUUUUAACUUAAUACUGUAGUGUGACCAUACCCCCCUAUUUAAGUAUCAUUCCAUAAGGAGAUAUUUAGUGGUUAUAUGCUAUUCAUUGUAAGUAUAUGCCAUCAAUUCUUUUUAAGUUUAUUUCUAGAGAGAGAGAGAGAGAGAGAGAGGAGCAUGAGAAGGGGAGGGGCAGGGAGAGAGGGAGACACCUGCUGCCAGCACAGAGCUCGAUGUGGGGCUCAAUCCAAGGAACCAUAAGAUCGUGACCUGAGUGGAAAUCAAGAGUUAGAUGCUUAACCAACUGAGCCACCCAACCCCCUAUGCCAUCAAUUUUUAAAUUGCAAUUGGUGAGAAUUUAGAAGGUCUAUCUAUAUUUUCUCCCAUUACCAGAUAACUCUGUAUACCUCCCCUGUUAUUUCCUUAGGAUACAUUUUCAGAAGAGUUACUAUGUCCAGCCUUUUUACAUGUGGCAAAUUUCUCCUAUCAUGCAAGGUCUAUAUUACAGUAGACUACAUCUUCUGACUAUUUUUCUUACCAGGACCAAAACAAUGAAGGUAGUAGAUAAAAUUGAGAUUAUCACCAUUGUAUUUCUAAUUGGUAAUGAAUUUUGUGUUAGGGAUAAGGUGGGAGCAGCAUUAGAACUUUAAAUUAUCUCAAAAAAAAAAAAAACUAACACAACAAGGAAGCAGGAAGUGAGGAAUGCAGAGUUAUUGUUUAAUUGGUUAUAGAGUUUCAAUUUUGUAAAAUAAAAGAAUUCUGGUAAUGGAUGGUGGUAAUGGUUGCACAACAAUAUUAAUGUACGUAAUACCAUUAAACUAUACAUUUAAAAAUGGCUAAGUUAGUAAAUUUUACAUUAUAUGUCUUUUACCACAAAAAAAGAAAUUGGGGGGAGAAAAUGACUAAGCAAAUGAAAAAGAUCACUACUACUUGUGUUGCAGAGGAGCUCAUGUGGAAAAAGGAAAUAGGCCCUCCAUAUUCCAUGACAUGGUUCUGAUAUUAUGGUAGAUGAGGCUAUAAUCAUAAUUAACAUUUAUAUGGUACUUUACAGUUUAUGGGUGCUUUUGUACACAUAAUUUCAUUGACAUAACAGCCUCAUGAAGUAGUUGAUUAUCAUCAUUUUGUAUAUGAGAACUCUGAGACAGCUCAAAUAACUGCCCAAGGUGAUAUAGCUGGCAAAGAGCAGAAGCAAGACAUCAUUCCAGGGCCGCACCCCCUUGUUUAAACUGUCUCCCUUGAAAUACACUACCAAGAUGGCGGCAAAGCUAUUGUGCUGGCAAAACUAUCAAGUGUUUUCAUUUGACAAGUCAAAUGUGUCAUUUGUAACUGAAAAGAGCAAACCUUUAAAUAGCACUUAAAAGACUUAGCUUAGAAACACUUCUUUCUGUAACAGCUUUGGAUAAGUAAUCAAUAAAACAGUAAUUUUACUAAUAUUCAUAACAAAUAAUACUCCCCACUGUUGAACCCUUAUUUCAUGUUUUUGGCACUUUUGGAUAUUGAGUUAAGUUUUUAAAUUCUCCCUCUCUAAUAUAUUUAUCAUCCUAAAGGGGAACACAUGCAACAUCACCAGGUAUCAGUGUGGCCAGGCAAGGUCAUAGGGAGAGGAACUGAGCCCACAAUAAUUUAGAGUCAACAGUUUCUCUCUUCACUAUCUCCCAUCCAAUUAAAUACAAAAAGAAAUGUUACAUUUUUCCAAAUUAAAUAUUAGCAUAAACAUAGAUUUUUUUUGCUCCCUAAAUUUUCUUCGCCUAUUUUUUGGGUGCAGUAUCUGAUCAAAGAUUAACAAGCUGCUAUUGGCUCUUAUAUCUAUCCAAUAUCAUCUUCAAUUUUGAUAGAUGAUUCCUCCAACUUUUCAAGAUUUCUUAGAGUUCUGUCCUUGAUGAUUCCUGAAUAAUUUAAUCUAACAAGCAGGUAGUUUUGGUAAACAGAAAUCUGAUCUGUGAGAUUUAUUUUGCCUGUGAGCCCAUUUGUCUUUGGAAUUAAAAGUAUCAACAGAUAUCAUGAACAUUUCUUGUUCUCAUAUAUUGACUAAACUCAUGCCUUUAAUACACUUUUUAUGGACCUGCUCUGUGCCUAGUUCUACAAAACUAAAUAAGACACGGUUCCAUGGAACUCUCAUUAUAUUAAUAAAUAGAAAAACUAACACAUACUAUUAAUUAAAAUGAAAUAGAGUAAGUGCAGUACUAUAAGUAUAUCCACAUACUCUGGGGUCACAGAAGUAUUAUAUUUGCUCCUAUGAGUAAGAGAAAGCUUCACAAAGGAAGAAUCAUCAGAGUUGGGACUAAAAGGAUGAACAAUUUUUCUUAAAGAAAGGGAUGGGAAGGUUUAUGCACAUAUAUUAUUUUGUCCCUUGUUUUAUGAUUAGAUAUUUUUCUUCGAUUAUAGUAUGAAAUCACACAAUAUCAUAUACUCUGACUGUAACAUUACAAACAUCUUUAGGGGCACCUGGAUGGCUCAGUCAGUUGAGUCCAACUUUCGCUCAGGUCAUGAUCUUGCAGUUUGUGAGUUCAAAUCCCCUGGCAGGCUCUGCUGUCAGAGCAGAGCCCUCUUUGGAUCCUCUGUCUCCCUGUCUCUCUCUGCCCCUCCCUUGCUCUCUCUCUCUCUCAAAAAUCAAUAAACAUUAAAAACAUCUUUAGAUUUCAUAGCAUUCUCUGUAAAUUCACCAAACUAUCAUCGUUCACUGCACCUGCCAUUGAGUAGAAUUCAUUGUUGAUCAAUAAGCAUUAAGCUUAAUUGUGAAGCUCCUUGAUUAAUUUACCACUGCACUGGUAGUGUGAGGAUGCCCAGCUGCAGGGGACACCAUUUAUAUGAACACUUCCCUUGGGGUCCCUAGGCAGUCUUCCGCAUACUUAUGGAUUUGUGGUAUUUAUCUCCCUCUACUUUGUACACAAUUCUAUUUUAAUACUGCAUUUUCCUUUCCAGUUGAACUAUACUUAACGCAGUAGAAUUUUAAGAAAAAAAAAAUUCUUCCUAAUAUUUAUGAUAGCUACUGCUCCAGUUAAUUUGGUUAAAUAGAAUUUCUGGAACAGUAGUUAUGAUUUUCUAAGAUACUGUAUCAUCGCCUCUCUUAAUUUCUUAUGCUACUUAUAUAAUAUGGAUCACCACACAAUGUAAAUCCCCAUUAUAUACUUGAUAUUGAUGGUUUCUGGUCAGUUGAUGUAUGCCAGGUUUUUUCAGAAAUCAUACCAGCUUUGAGAUUCCUGAGCAACUAUGCUGUAUAUUCUUCUUUAGCCAUUAAUUGAAUUUUGAAAAGGAAUUUGAUAUAUUUCUAAUUUCUUUUUUCAUGGUAAAUCAGGGCAUAAAUCAUCUAUUCUCUACAACCCUGAAUGGCAUCAACUGUGCUUGUUCUUUGUUAAUAAAUAUUUCAAGUUAUCUUAAACUAUGCUUAGAUAUUUUUACAUAUCUCAAACAAAUGGAUGAUAGACCAAUAGUUAGAUGGUUCUCCUCUACAAUCUUACUUCAUGUUUUUUCCAGAGUUUUAUAUUGGAUCUCCUCUACCCCAUUAGAUUCCUUUAACUUUGGUCUGUCUGCCUAGCAAGGACUCUAAACAAUAGCAUUCUCCUUGAUUUAGAUUUUAGCCCAUCAGAGGCUGUGUACUUUUUGAAGAAAAGGAAAUUCACUUAAACAGAGUGGUUUGCACAUUAAAUAUUAGCUCAUAAGAAUGAGUUCUGCAGGACUUUCCAGCUCUAGGAUUCCGUGUGUAUAAUGGCAGAGUGAAAACAACAGAUUGUAAUUGUAUGAAUGUCAUCUGUGUUAUGUCAAAGAGAAAAACAACUUCGUCCUGAAUCAGAUCAAAUAGAACAGUCCAAAAAAUUUUAAUAGAGGUGAAAACUUAGCCAAUUAAUUGAAUUGGUUAGAUAUUAUUUUUCAGUGGUUAGAUAACACAUACUGAAAUUAAAUUUUCUAAAAAAUAUUAAUUAGUACCUUCCCAAGGGCUUUUUUUUUAAACGUUUAUUUAUUAUUUUUAAGAGACAGAAGGAGACAGAGCAUGAGCAGGGGAGGGGGAGAGAGAGGGAGGGAGACACAGAAUCUGAAACAGGCUCCCGGCUCUGAGCUGUCAGCACAGAGCCCAAAGUGGGGCUCAAACCCAUGAAUUGUAAGAUCAUGACCUGAGCCUAUCAGACGCUUAACUGACUGAGCCACCCAGGCGCCCCAUUCCCAAGGGCUUUUGAAUCCCAUCAGGUUUAUUUUAUUUUUUGGAAUCUUUUGCAAUAUGGCACAUCUGUGCUGAGGUGUCUGCACAGAGUCAUGUGUGAUCUCCCCACUAUAAUAUUUCUGUGUGGGGUUUCUCACAUAUUGACCUGCCCCCUGACAAAACAGGAGGUCAUGGCAACUAAGAAACCAGUGAUUUUGCCCUGAACACAGAUAGAGGAAAGCAGAUUUUUCCGUCAGUGGAUCAGCCUUUUUCCCAUUUUUAGUGGAGAACUUCUCUGUAAAUUAUUCAGGAACAACCUGAGUCUUGGUCAAUGCAAAACCAAAAAUAUCAAUGAAUUAUUUUUUUAAGACUUGAAAAGAGCGGCCGCUUUCCUGCAUUCAGGAAAAUAUGUCCAUCUUCUUGUAAUUUAUAUGCAGUUGCAGGGAAUUGCCUAGAGUGUUUCAUUAGCAACAUGUUGUCCCCUGCAGGGGCAAUAAUUCACCUAGUACACUCUUAUUCUCUUCCUAAGCAAAUCUGGGGAUGAAUAACAAUAAUGAUUUUUAUUUUCAUUUCAGUCUUUAGAAAUCCUCCUUUAUUCCUACUCUGCUCUAGUUCUCUGGAAUGAUGAAUGAUGACCAUUUAUAACCUAGCAUACUGAAAGUGUCAUGAUCUCAUCGUUUGUGGGUUUGAAUCCUGUGCCAGGCUCAGUGCUGGCAGUGUGGAUCCUGCUUGGGAUUUUCUCUCUCCCUCUGUCUCUCUGCCCCUGGCCCACUCACUCAUGCGUUCUCGGUCUCUCAAAAAAAAAAAAGAUUAAAGAAAAAGAAAUGCAAAUUCCCAGGCACUAUCCUAGUCCUGCUGAGUAAGAAACUCCAGGCCCUUCUGAGUUUUAUAAGCCCUCCAACUGAUUUUGAUAAUCGUUUGCGUAAGAACCACAAUUCUUGCUCUGCAGUAUUGAUACACCUUCACUUCUUGUUCACUCUUCCUCCCACAGACCCUUCAGCCUCAUUUCUUCCUCAGAGCUUGGUCCUGGCUCCUUCAACCUCCUUCUUUGCAUUCUUCCCCCGAGGAGAUCUCACUCAUCCCUUAGUGGGAUCUCACCCAUUUCUAAAAGAAAAAAUCUAUUGACAUGGAGUGAUCAUUACCUAAUAGCAAUAGCCUCUUCUGGACUUCUCAGUAAAUGCCAAAUCUCACCUCAGUGGCCUGUUCUUUUCAGAAGUUUCUCUAAUGCUGAAUGGACUCAUAUUAAACCUCUUAUCUGAUGGUAAUAAAAGUUAACCCUUGUUGACCAAUUAAUAUGUACUGUCCCAAACAUAUGUGUAUAUUAUGUCAUUUAAUCCGCACUACAGGUCUAUGAAGCAAGUAACAUUAAUAAUCCAUUUUCCAGGUAAGCAAAUUGAGGCACAAAGUAGCUAAGCGAGAGCUCAAGGUCAUACAGGCAAGAAGUAGUAGAGAGUAUAUUAAAAGCCAAAUGGUCUAAGAGAUGAUUGUUACUCAGCAAGUAAGAAAAACCUAGUCUUAUAAAGCAAACAGGAAAUUAAGCACUUUUCCUUCUGCCAUAUGAAGACCAUAAUGGAAUUUUUCCUAAAAGAUUGUCUUAAAAAGCAGGAGAUGCACCUUAAAAUUUAUGUAUUCUAAAUUGGGGGUGGGGGGGGAGAAUUCCCCCAGGCAGUGACCUUUAUUACUAAGAUUUGAUUUGGAAGCCAAUUUUUAUAGCUCAGUUAAAAACUGCUAAACCCAGUCACUUAUAUAAUAGAAAUGCUGACAUGACCUUAAUUCUAGAGGUGCAAAGGGUAUAAUUGAAUUUAAGAACAAUGUACCUCAUCCAUUAAGUCAUUAAAUAGAUCGUAAUAAUCUGACACAUUUGGUAAGUACUACAUGAAAGUGGUUAACAAUGGUAUGCAAAUAAAAUGAGCUUACACGAUUAGCUGCUGUAUUUUCGGUUGUGUUUGCCAAAUAUAACAUUAAAUUACAAUACAGUCAUUUAGAAAAUGUUAUGGCAAUAUAUUUUAAAUGUUCCUGAACAUGAUGCCAACAUAAAGAAAGGGAAUGUUAGAAUCUCCAGGAUAUUGCCAAGUGCCUGUGUGUAAUUCAGAUAGCUUUAUAUUUACAGUUAAUAGAAUUAAACUUAAUCAGGAAUACAUCCUUUUGAACCAAACUUCUGGAGUUGCCCUGGUGAGAUAGUGCAUCUGAUUGAAAAGUAUAUAUAAAGAUGCCAACUAAAUGCUAAAGUCAGAUCAUUCCUCCCUAUAGAUGAAUAUUUGGCACUGCUGAGAAAAAAACAUCCAGAUGUUUGGCAUCAUAUAACCAAAUACCUAAAUCCAAGUGAAAUCAUGAGUUAAACACACACUUAGGGAAUUGAAUCAAUGGAGACAUCCAGUGAGGCUCGUUUUAGCUCAAACAAAAUAAAACAAAGCCAAAACAAAAUUUCUUGAGGGCAGGGCUAGAAAUCUGAAUUUUCAAUUCAUAUUGUCUCAAUUCUUCAUUUAAUCUGACUAUUUAUAGGACCAGUAAUGAAGCGUACUAAUCAUUUCAGUGUAAUAGAGAAUCCAGUAGAGCAAAACACUGGGCUUCAGAACUCUGACAAUUAUUUUAAUCAGAUCUUCUGUUUUAUUUCCUUAUGCAAAUGCUAAUAUAACAAAUAAGAGUUAGUAAAUAAUAGUAUAUCUAAUAAAUUAUCCAGGUUCUUACCUGCUGGCCACAAUAAUUGCUAAUAUAUUCAAAUGCCUUAUGUUAUAUUUAUGCAUGGGCAACAAGCCAUGGAAAUGAAUAUACGCAUUUAUAUAAGAGAUAUAUAACAUGGUGACAUAAAAAUCAAAAAGGUCAAAAAUCGCUGUCCUAGUAAAAGAAAUAAAAAUAAUUAAGGGUUUAAAUUGAAUAUAAGUGACUCAAUUAGUAGGAUAGAUCAAUUACAAAAAUGACUCCUAUUUUCCCCCUUCUUACUACAUGUCUGUACAUCUCUUCCCAUCAUGAUGUGGCAUUUAUUUGUCCCACCUCUUGAACUGAACUGUCCUGCAACUUGACCUCUAGAGUGUGGUUGAUAUGAGGGGGUGUCACAGUUAACGGAGGCCUCAAGAGACAUUAUGCACCCCCACUUACUCUCUUGUUCCUGUUCCUUUGCCCUGAGAAUAACUCUGAGCUAGCCUGCUGAAGAAUGAGAGAUCCCGUGAAAAAGAGCCAAAUCGUCCCCACUGGAGACAUCCUAACCCACCAGUUUAGCACAGAUGCAUAAGUAAGACCAAGAAGAGCUGAGCCUGGCACAGACCAGCACAAUCCACCCCGCUGAUUGCAACUCUACAGAGUAGGUGAUAUCAUCAUCACUAUCUCUGUCCCUAUUUUAACAGAUGAAGAAACUGAGGCACGAAGAGGCUCUGGCACUUAAAAGGGACAAUGA